AAUUUUGAGAUUAAAAUAUUAACAAGAAAUUUUUUUAAACGGCUGCAAUUAGUAGUUGUGCUAAGGUAGCGUAAUCAUUUGCCCCUUAAUUAGGGGAAGGUAUGAAUGGUUUGACGUGGGAAGAGCUGUCUCUUUUAUAUAAAAAGAAGUUUAUUUUUGAGUGAAAAAGCUUAAAUGGUUGUAAAAGACGAGAAGACCCUAUCGAACUUGAAUUAUGUAUUAAAUAUUUUUGAAUACAAAAAGUUUAGUUGGGGAAACUUAAAGUUAAAAAGAACGCUUUUUUGUUGUAAAAUGAUCCUGUAUUAUGGAAAAAUGAAAAAGUUACCGUAGGGAUAACAGCGCUUUCUUCUCUGAGAGGACUAAUUAAAGAGUUGGUUGCGACCUCGAUGUUGGAUUAAGGUUUCUU
rnacentral:rRNA from 1 species